rnacentral:lncRNA from 1 species
UUCCUUCAUCCUGCUUCCAUAAUUAUAUGUUGGGGUGCAGAAGUAAUCAUUUACUCCAUUGCCUACAUGAACCUUAUCAUCCUCUGCUUUGCAAAAGGCUAACAUAAAUGCUGAAGCAAUGGCUAAUAUUCAGUACAGCUGAGAUAUUUCCUGGCAGCUGCUGAAGAAACAUGGAAAAUGGACCAAUAAGAACAGGCUGAAGAAGGCUGAAGUCAGCAACGAGGAUGAUAAUUUAUCAGAAUAUUUGGUACGUGACAACUGUUAUAAAAGCUAAUUCUUACCAAAUUCUACAGAAAAGUCAAGAACAAUGAGGACAGAAGAAAGAACUAAAAAGAAUACAAUUAUUGAUGACUGUGAUCCCAGCAAAAUGCUGAGUAAAUUAGACUGAAAUUUCAAAGGAUUAAAAUAAAGAUUGUUAGAGGAUGAAUAGAGCGGGUUGAGAACAUUU